UGCAGUCGAGCGAAGCUUUUCAGUAGUUUACUACAGAAAAUGACUGAGCGGCGAACGGGUGAGUAACGCGUGAGCAACCUACCUUAGUUACUGGGAUAGCCCGAGGAAACUCGGAUUAAUACCGGAUAUUCUUAUUUAAUCACAUGAUUUUUUAAGGAAAGGUCAGCCGAACUAAGAUGGGCUCGCGUUCUAUCAGCUAGUUGGUAGGGUAAUGGCCUACCAAGGCUACGACGGAUAGCUGGUCUGAGAGGACGAUCAGCCACACUGGGACUGAGACACGGCCCAGACUCCUACGGGAGGCUGCAGCAGGGAAUAUUGCGCAAUGAGCGAAAGCUUGACGCAGCGACACCGCGUGUGGGAUGACGGAUCUAGGUUUGUAAACCACUUUCAGGAGGGAAGAAAAUGACGGUACCUCCACAAGAAGCCCCGGCCAACUACGUGCCAGCAGCCGCGGUAAUACGUAGGGGGCGAGCGUUGUCCGGAUUUAUUGGGCGUAAAGAGCUCGUAGGCGGUUCAACAAGUCGGUCGUGAAAGUUCAGGGCUCAACCCUGAAAUGUCGAUCGAUACUGUUGUGACUAGGAUACGGUAGAGGUGAGUGGAAUUCCGAGUGUAGCGGUGAAAUGCGUAGAUAUUCGGAGGAACACCAAUUGCGAAGGCAGCUCACUGGGCCGCUAUCGACGCUGAGGAGCGAAAGCUAGGGGAGCAAACAGGAUUAGAUACCCUGGUAGUCCUAGCUGUAAACGAUGGAUACUAGACGUAGGAAUUGGAUUAACGAUUUCUGUGUCG
rnacentral:rRNA from 1 species